GUCUCCGAGGCCUGGGAAAACUUUACCUCUGAUACCUUCCUGAACAGAGAUAGACAUCUGAAAGUCUUCCUUGCAGAUCAGUGGUUCAUCUAGUUGAACAGCCUACACAGUGGCAAGGACCAACACUUCAGAAAAAUACCAAGUUUCUUUUAAGUGCCUAUUGUGUGACUACAGAAAUUGCUGCAUCCUCAUUAUAUUCCAGAUUUCUGGUCAUGAUAGUCAUCAGUGACAUAUAAAUCAGACUUGUAGUCCAGGAGAAGGGAGAAGAAAGAAUUCCAGUGGCAGGGAGCUUAGCUGCUUUUGACAAGAAGGAAACACAGGCCUCCUAAUUAACAGUGCAGUUAAAGAGGGGUGAGUGGGUUGUUGCCAAAUGUAACUCUGGGGAAAACUGUGACUGCUGUGAUCAAGGGAGUUAUUUACUCAGUCAAUAAAAACCAGGCUGAAACAAAUGGCA
rnacentral:lncRNA from 1 species